CGGUGUCAAUGCCCACCACAGACCUUGAAUAUUCAAGGCAUUGAACUUGUAUGAAUCAUGGGGGGGGUUGAAAGGAUACCGCCGCCAUUUUUACCAUGACUCAUUCAUUCUUCUUUGUAGCCAAGCUGUCUAACCUUUCACAGUAUUUCCUGCUCUUGGCGUCUUCAUUUCUUUUUUUGUUCUCGUAGCGUCCGGUUUAUUUUACAUUAGUUUACGAAUAUUUUUCGGUUUCUUUUUACAAAUUGCGUGAUUUUUCAUUUGUGAAGCUGAAUUACUGACAAUGACUAUAAUUUUCAAUCGAUUGGAGCUUACGUGAUCAAACCUGCGCCGAUUAUCAAUCUCGAAGGAGUUUUAUCAUCUGGUCUGCAUCUGCUCAUCUGCAGAAAUGCUAAACUAAAACAGCCGAAUUAUGUUUCAACUGUGGCGGAGGCGUCUGAAAUAUCACCGGAACUCAUAUCUGUCGAUAUAGGCUAUUUCGAAUCGAGUUGACGUUAAAGAACCUGGUACCGAUUUAUCGAUGUCAUUGUUAUCGCCUACUUCAUUCUGUAGUUCGUUGAUACCUUAACCUAAUACCUCGUAUAUCGAAGGUAAGGAUCAUGCUGUAUCUGCUGAAAAUUCUGAAUUGGGUUUCAACUCCGGCGCCUAAAUCUCUCCCACCGAAGUUGAUCUUUCAUUUUGCUGGAUAUUUUGAUGCGAGUUGAAACCUGAGAUGGAACCUAAGCACCGACUUCGUUAUGUGAUGUACCAUCGAUAUGAUCUUCUACUCUAUCUGCAAUGUGUUGAAAACUUCGACUAUACCUAGCACAAUAUUUUACGACGUUGCACCUAUAGCUGCUGAAACUGCUGUCUCACCGAGAGAUCGUCGUUGAUAUUUGUACGUGAUUAUUUCGGUUCAAGCUGAAGUUCACGAAAUUGAUAUAGAGUCUAGCUUCGACUUCGUUACCAAAAUGUAUCAUAUCAUAGAUGUCAUCGCGUAUACCUCAUUAGACAGAAUGCGAAUACUCUAUUUUAUUAGCUUACAGUGAAUAUCGCGAUGCUGCAUUAUUUUGUGGAGACUGCUGUACUUGUUAUGUUUCCAUUCCGGCGCCUAAAAUAUCACCUACACUUGAUCUUUAUCCAUAUGGAUAUUUCGAUUACGAGUUGGAACCUGAGAAACUGAACCCAGCACCGGCUUGAUUAUGUAGGCAUUGUAUCAUCGAUGUAAUCUCCUACUCUGUCUGCAAUGUGUUGAAAACUUCAACAACCUACUUAUAACAAUAUUUUACGACGUUGCAUCUGGCUGCUGAAACUGCAGCUGUCUGACUGAGAGAUCUUCGUUGAUUUUUGUACGUUGAUAUUUCGGUUCGAGUUCGAGUGUAUACGAUUCGACUUCUUUACCAAAAGUGUACCAUAUGGCAUCGAUGUUAUCACCUGUGUAUCUCAUGUGAAUGCUUUCAUCAGCCUAUACGAUGAAUAUCGCGAUACUGCAUUAUUUUGUGGAGACUGUUGUACCUAUUUUGUUUCCAUUCCGGCGCCACCUACUCUUGAUCUCCGUCCAUGUAAGUUGGCUCGAUCGAUUUUCAAUUAUUAUUUAGAUCGCUGUGAUUUUUUGUAAACAUUGUAUCGUAUUGUAUGUAUUUCACGAGGUGUAAUUUUUCUACAAUUUAUUGUCGUUUCGAUGAUAUUUUGCCAGUUUUUUCAUGAUGUUUAUGGAUUGGACGAUAUGUUAGCUAUUAUGGUGUAGAUUUUGCUGUAAUUUCGUGAUGGCAUCGUGAUGGCAAUUUCAUAUCAACGUUUAGACAAUUUUUCGGCUAUUUUCACGAAGUUAUAUCGUUCUUGAGCAUGGUAGAUCCCAGUCGGUUUUUGAUGAUAUUUUCAGUGGCGUAGAGAAGGGGUCGCGAAGCAGGCCAUCACAUCCCCGUGAAUAUUUAAAAUGAAACAUGUUUUCGUUUUUUAGGACCCAUUUUUUCGAAAAAAUUUCGCUCUCGCUUCGCUCAAGCAGUAAUUUUACCUUCGUUUUCAUUCGAUCAUCACAACAUCACAAAAGGUUUUCAGAAAAUUACCUAUAAUUUUGACUUUUCAUAUUGUCCAAAAAUCUUACGUUUUUUGCUUGAAUUGGCUACUUAAAGUCUACCGGUUGGCCAAAAAUGUUCGACCUUUUCACAAAAACUGCGAGUAAAUUUCGCUGACUUGUCAACAAUUGCUAAAAUGCUCUUGUCUGUUGCUAGAACCAAAAAUCAACGUUUUUUUUUUUUUUGAAUUUUUGUCAAUAAUUUUUAAAUAUUUUUAGAGAGUGGGCAUUUUUCUGAAACAUGUGUUCUGAAGUAGGCUGAAUAUUGAAUCAAAUUUUUUAGUUUUUUUUUUGACAAAUCUUUUUUUGAUAUUUCGAUCUUGAUUUUCAAAAUUCCAAGUCGUUUUGCACCACUCCCCCCUCCUACCAACUUCCCUGAUUUGUGAAUUGCAGUAAAUUUGAUCCAAGUCGAUCUACGAGUCUCUCAUUUCACCCAAGACGAUCAAAGUAGGUACAUUUCGAUAAUUUUUAUUGACGAGACCGAGAGAUAUUUGAACAUGUCAAACAUUUAUAAUAAAAUUUCUGAUACCUACAUUCCUAUAUUUCAUUUUUUUUUCAGGUCCAAAUUUGGAAGGGAUUUGGGGUAUGAUGGUUGGUAUUUAUGGGUAAUUUGGAUUAAUUUAGAUAUAUGUACCUAGUUUAGUUGAUACAUUGGGCAAUGCUGGCAAGGUGGAUCCUCAAGAUUGUCCAAUUUUUUUCUUGAAAAAUCCCCUUUCUGCCCAAAAUGAGCUAUCACAAUGUAGCUGCAUUGAGGCUGUGGGGUACAAUUUUCUUUUUUCAGGUUCACAUUUGGAAGGAAAUUGUGGGGUAUGAUGCAUAGUUUUAUAAUUAAUUUAGAUAUGUAGAUACAUAGGGGUAAAUGGAUUGGGGCUGUGGGGUACAAUUUUCUUUUUUUUUGGGUUCACAUUUGGAAGGGAAUUGUGGGGUAUGAUGCUUAGUAUUUAUGAAUAAUUUAGUUACUUAUUGGGGCAACUUUGUUGAGAAUUUGUGGUAUGACUGAUGCAUAGCUUUAUGAGUAAUUUAGAUGGAUAGGUACAUGGGGUAAAUGGAUUGGUGCUGAUGGGUAUAAUUUCAUAUUUUCAGCAACAAUUUGGAUUAAUUUAGAUAUAUGUACCUAGUUUAGUUGAUACAUUGGACAAUGCUGGCGCGGUGGAGCCUCAUGAUUGUCCAAUUUUUUUCUUGAAAAAUCCCCUUUGUGCCCAAAAUGAGCUAUCACAAUGUAGCUGCAUUGGGGCUGUGGGGUACAAUUUUAUUUUUUUUGGGUUCGCAUUUGGAAGGGAAUUGUGGGGUAUGAUGCUUAGUAU